rnacentral:rRNA from 1 species
AUUGAACGCUGGCGGCAGGCCUAACACAUGCAAGUCGAGCGAGCGGCGGACGGGUGAGUAAUGUCUGGGACACUGCCUGAUGGAGGGGGAUAACUACUGGAAACGGUAGCUAAUACCGCAUACCAUCAGAUGUGCCCAGAUGGGAUUAGCUAGUAGGUGGGGUAACGGCUCCCCUAGGCGACGAUCCCUAGCUGGUCUGAGAGGAUGACCAGCGCCACUGGAAUGGAGACAGGGUCCAGACGCCAACGGGAGGCAGCAUUGGGUAGUAUUGCACAAUGGGCGCAAGCCUGAUGCAGCCAUGCCGCGUGUGUGAAGAGGGCCUUCGGGUUGUAAAGCACUUUCAGCGGGGAGGCGUUACCCGCAGAAGAAGCACCGGCUAACUCCGUGCCAGCAGCCGCGGUAAUAC